rnacentral:rRNA from 1 species
AUACGGAGGGUGCAAGCGUUAAUCGGAAUUACUGGGCGUAAAGCGUACGUAGGCGGUCCGUUAAGUUAGAUGUGAAAGCCCCGGGCUUAACCUGGGAACUGCAUUUAAAACUGGCGGACUAGAGUUGAGUAGAGGGGAGUGGAAUUUCAGGUGUAGCGGUGAAAUGCGUAGAGAUCUGAAGGGACACCAGUGGCGAAGGCGACUCCCUGGACUCGAACUGACGCUGAGGUACGAAAGCGUGGGUAGCAAACGGGAUUAGAAACCCUGGUAGUCC